rnacentral:rRNA from 1 species
AGGACGAACGCUGGCGGCGUGCCUAACACAUGCAAGUGGAGCGACGACCCGGGCUUCGGCCCGGUGCAAAGCCGCGAACGGGUGAGUAACACGUGGGUAACCUGCCCUGAUGAUUGGGACAACCCGAGGAAACUCGGGCUAAUACCGAAUGUGCCCUCCGGCCUCAAGGCCGUUGGGGAAAGGAAGCUUCGGCCUCCGCAUCGGGAUGGGCCCGCGGCCCAUUAGCUUGUUGGUGAGGUAACGGCUCACCAAGGCAACGAUGGGUAGCUGGUCUGAGAGGACGAUCAGCCACACUGGGACUGAGACACGGCCCAGACUCCUACGGGAGGCAGCAGUGGGGAAUCUUGCGCAAUGGGCGAAAGCCUGACGCAGCAACGCCGCGUGGGGGAUGAAUGCCUUCGGGUUGUAACUCCUUUAGUGGAACGAAUUGACGGUACCCACAGAAAAGCCCGGCUAACUACGUGCCAGCAGCCGC